AUGCGGGCAGCGAGGGAAGGAGCAGGGGCUCAUUGGACUACGCUGGAGACUUGCAACUGCGGCUUCUUGCAAGGAGACCGGUGCCAAGGACGAGGUUCGAAGCUCAAGGACGAGUUGGUGUCCGACGCGGAGAUGUCAUGUGAUAGAGAAGGCGCGGAGUUGUCCAGCUGGACGCGGUCAGGUGCAGGAGGGAGCUCGGGGAAACGAUGGCGGCGCUGCUCGGCUGAAGCAGAGGGCGGCGUCGGAGCAUGGCCGCAUCUUGGACAGGGAGACAGGGGAGGCUAG
rnacentral:rRNA from 1 species